rnacentral:rRNA from 1 species
CAGAGGGUGCGAACGUUGCUCGGAAUUACUGGGCGUAAAGCGCAUGUAGGCGGGUCGGCAAGUCAGAUGUGAAAUCCCCGGGCUCAACCCGGGAACUGCAUCUGAAACUGCCGGUCUUGAGUACUGGAGAGGGUGGCGGAAUUCCUGGUGUAGAGGUGAAAUUCGUAGAUAUCAGGAGGAACACCGGUGGCGAAGGCGGCCACCUGGACAGUAACUGACGCUGAGAUGCGAAAGCGUGGGGAGCAAACAGGAUUAGAUACCUGGUAGUCCACGCCGUAAACGAUGGGUGCUAGGUGUCUCGGGUAUUGACCCUGAGGUGCCGUAGCUAACGCGUUAAGCACCCGCCUGGGAAGUACGGUCGCAAGACUA